rnacentral:rRNA from 1 species
UUCUGGUUGAUCCUGCCGGACCUGACUGCUAUCGGAUUGAUAUUAAGCCAUGCGAGUCUUUGUAGUAAUACAAGGCAGACGGCUCAGUAACGCGUAGUCAACCUACCCUAUGGACGGGAAUAACCUCGGGAAACUGAGAAUAAUACCCGAUAUACCAUCAUGCCUGGAACGGUUGGUGGUUAAAAUGAUUCGUCGCCGUAGGAUGGGACUGCGACCUAUCAGCUUGUUGGUGGGGUAAAGGCCCACCAAGGCGAUUACAGGUACGGGCUCUGAGAGGAGAAGCCCGGAGAUGGGUACUGAGACAAGGACCCAGGCCCUAUGGGGCGCAGCAGGCGAGAAAACUUUGCAAUGUGCGAAAGCACGACAAGGUUAAUCCGAGUGAUUUCUGCUAAAGAAAUCUUUUGCCAGUUCUAAAAAUACUAGUGAAUAAGGGGUGGGCAAGUUCUGGUGUCAGCCGCCGCGGUAAAACCAGCACCUCAAGUGGUCAGGAGGAUUAUUGGGCCUAAAGCAUCCGUAGCCGGCUCUGUAAGUUUUCGGUUAAAUCUAUAUGCUCAACGUAUAGACCGCCGAAAAUACUGCAGUGCUAGGAAGUGGGAGAGGUAGACGGUACUCGGUAGGAAGGGGUAAAAUCCUUUGAUCUAUCGAUGACCACCUGUGGCGAAGGCGGUCUACCAGAACACGUUCGACGGUGAGGGAUGAAAGCUGGGGGAGCAAACCGGAUUAGAUACCCGGGUAGUCCCAGCUGUAAACGAUGCAGACUCGAUGAUGCAUUGGCAUUUAGCCAGUGCAGUGUCGCAGGGAAGCCGUUAAGUCUGCCGCCUGGGAAGUACGUACGCAAGUAUGAAACUUAAAGGAAUUGGCGGGGUAGCACCACAAGGGGUGAAGCCUGCGGUUCAAUUGGAUUCAACGCCGGGA